AAAAUUCUCCUUCAGGAAGUACUUAGAAGCUUUUAGGCUAUUUAUAAGUAUGUGAAGACAGGAAUUUGAAUCUCUGAGAUCAUUCUCUAAUUACUUUGUCCAAUGACAAUAGGAGCAACCAACCAACAUCAUAUUUCUUAGUUGUCCAAAAAUGUUUGAAAGUAUCCCAUAUAGUUACUAAGUUUCUUGCCUCGUAUAAGUGGUUAAUUAGGAGUAUCUAGUGCAGCUAUUUUGCAUAUCUCUAUAAACAGUUCAUGCCAUAGACUAUCUGUGCUCUCUGUACUAUUGGAAGUAGAAUUCUUAGUAUGUUUAAAUCCAAUCAGAUUAAAGGACCAAUUUGAGAAACCUGAAAAACAAUUAAGGAAACUCAUCCUGAAAAUUCUGUUUCUCUGGAGCCACUCUCAGUACAAAAAUCUAUUUUAGUCAGUGUUCUCCGGAGAGGCACAAACAAUAGGAGGUAUAUUAUAUAUACCUGAGAAUCCAGGGAAUCACUGGUGUGAGUCCAACAGCGGGAGAACCUGGGGUUUCAAAGUCCAAAGGCAAAAGAAGGGCAUCCCAGUUCUAGAAGCAGGAGAAAGAGAGAGAGAGAGCAGUAAUUGGCUCUUUCUCCUUUUUGUUCCAUCCAGGUCCCCAGCCAAUUGCAUGGUGCACAUCCACCAAGAAAAGAUUGAAAACAGAGUCUUCCCCACUCAGUCCAACAACUCACAUACCAGUCUCCUCCAGAAACACUCUCACGGACACACCUGAAACAGCCCACUAAUUCUAAUCAGAUGUCAAACCAUCUUGUUUCCCUUUCAACAGAAGAGGGAUAUGCUCAGUGUCUACUGAAGCACUGAGAAUAAUACAAUGAUUGAGAAUAAUCCUUUACCAGCUAUCUGGGUAUCCCUUAAUUCAGCCAAGUUGACGCCCAAAAUCAACUAUUACAAGAUACCAUUAUAACUCUGUCCCAAACAUUGAGUGUUAAGUCAGCAGCUAAUGACUGAGGUAUUAUAAUAGGAGAAGAAAAAAAAUACUCUGAUCUCCUAUUUUAAAAAUUAUCUUUCACCUAUAAGCAAUGCAUUCUCUUAAAUAUAAUUAUCAUCUAGCGAUUCUUAAAGCGCAUACUGCAACACUAGUGCUGCUUCUGUAAAAGGAAUAAACAUAGAACCCACUUCAGACAUUGGAACAAGAUUCAUAAUGAAGAUAUAUUUCAUAAUAGGAUGAUGCUGCUCAUUAAAAAACACUCUAUCAAGUUCUACUUCAUUCUCAGAACUGCCUCCAAUAAUACUCAGAUUAUAUUUACAAUUCCAGGUGAAAAUAUCCCUUGCAAACUUAAUGAUUAUCUAACAAAUACUCUAACAACAUGGAUGAUAGUUCAUCAUGGACAAAAGAAAUCCAUUCCAAGGCUAGACACCAUAGGACUAUCCAAAAGGAACAAAUGAGAGAACUACUCAUCGGUGAAGGAUGACUGGAGGUGCCAGGAAGUAAUCUUCAGUGAUUAAAUAGGAGAGCCUCUUCUAACACAGCAGGCAAACUGGCGGUCAUACUCUUCUCUAAAUGAGCCAACACUCCCUAGGAGACCUCAGUAGAACUCCCUCUUCUCUGCUGGAAAGGUUUUGCCUCCCCAGGACCCAUCCCUCACCAUCCAUGCAUGACAUUCUGGCCUCAAGUAUCCACUCCUCAAAGGAAAAGAAAUUGGAGAGAUUCGCCUUGAAAAUAAGCCUUCAUAUUAGUGACUUCCUUCUUUUAAAGGACAUCGAACAAGUUUUAGAUGGGAUCUCUCUAUGUUGUCCAGGCUGGUCUCAAAUUCUUGGGCUCAAGAGAUCCUCGUGCCUCAGCCUCCCAAAGUGCUGAGAUGGUUAUACCAGGUGAGAUGUGAGUCACCAAACCCAGCCACCAAUGACUUUUAAAUUGUAGACUUCAAAAUAAUUGUUCAUCAACUUUGGUCAUUUAUAACAAGUACACACUUAUUUCUUGAAAUUCUCUCCACUGUUCACAACAGCAAAGACUUGGAACCAACCCAAAUACCCAUCAAUGAUAGACUGGAUAAAGAA
rnacentral:lncRNA from 1 species